rfam:Nicotiana sylvestris Nsyl_contig29952, whole genome shotgun sequence.
UGGACAGAUUAUUAUAUUCACGGCGUGAAACAGGGGAUUACACUAUUUUUGAACGGAAAGUGAAUCAAUUAACAUAAUCGACUCCU